rnacentral:rRNA from 1 species
UGGGGAAUAUUGCGCAAUGGGCGAAAGCCUGACCCAGCGACGCCGCGUGGGGGAAGAAGUCUUUCGGGACGUAAACCCAUGUUGUACGGGACGAAAAAAGGGGAUUCUUCCUCACUUGACGGUACCAUAGGAAUAAGCACCGGCUAACUCCGUGCCAGCAGCCGCGGUAAUACGGAGGGUGCAAGCGUUAUCCGGAUUUACUGGGUUUAAAGGGUGCGUAGGUGGGCAGGUAAGUCAGUGGUGAAAUCUCCGGGCUUAACCCGGAAACUGCCAUUGAUACUAUCGGUCUUGAAUAUCCUGGAGGUGAGCGGAAGAUGUCAUGUAGCGGUGAAAUGCUUAGAUAUGACAUAGAACACCGAUUGCGAAGGCAGCUCACUACGGGAUCAUUGACGCUGAGGCACGAAAGCGUGGGGAUCAAACA